CCUACGGGAGGCUGCAGUGGGGAAUAUUGGACAAUGGGGGCAACCCUGAUCCACCCAUGCCGCGUGUGUGAAGAAGGCCCUCGGGUUGUAAAGCACUUUCAGUGAGGAAGAACGCCUGGUGGUUAAUACCCAUCAGGAAAGACAUCACUCACAGAAGAAGCACCGGCUAACUCCGUGCCAGCAGCCGCGGUAAUACGGAGGGUGCGAGCGUUAAUCGGAAUUACUGGGCGUAAAGCGCGCGUAGGUGGCUUGAUAAGCCGGUUGUGAAAGCCCCGGGCUCAACCUGGGAACGGCAUCCGGAACUGUCAAGCUAGAGUGCAGGAGAGGAAGGUAGAAUUCCCGGUGUAGCGGUGAAAUGCGUAGAGAUCGGGAGGAAUACCAGUGGCGAAGGCGGCCUUCUGGACUGACACUGACACUGAGGUGCGAAAGCGUGGGUAGCAAACAGGAUUAGAUACCCCUGUAGUC
rnacentral:rRNA from 1 species